rnacentral:rRNA from 1 species
AAUACUUAGGAAUCUGCCCAUUAAUGGGGGACAACAGUUGGAAACGACUGCUAAUACCGCAUACGCCCUACGGGGGAAAGCAGGGGAUCUUCGGACCUUGCGUUAAUGGAUGAGCCUAAGUCGGAUUAGCUAGUUGGUGGGGUAAAGGCCUACCAAGGCGACGAUCUGUAGCGGGUCUGAGAGGAUGAUCCGCCACACUGGGACUGAGACACGGCCCAGACUCCUACGGGAGGCAGCAGUGGGGAAUAUUGGACAAUGGGCGGAAGCCUGAUCCAGCCAUGCCGCGUGUGUGAAGAAGGCCUUUUGGUUGUAAAGCACUUUAAGCGAGGAGGAGGCUACUGGUAUUAAUACUACUGGAUAGUGGACGUUACUCGCAGAAUAAGCACCGGCUAACUCUGUGCCAGCAGCCGCGGUAAUACAGAGGGUGCGAGCGUUAAUCGGAUUUACUGGGCGUAAAGCGUACGUAGGUGGUCUUUUAAGUCGGAUGUGAAAUCCCUGAGCUUAACUUAGGAAUUGCAUUCGAUACUGGUUGGCUAGAGUAUGGGAGAGGAUGGUAGAAUUCCAGGUGUAGCGGUGAAAUGCGUAGAGAUCUGGAGG